rnacentral:rRNA from 1 species
AGAAUCAACGCUGGCGGCGUGCCUAACACAUGCAAGUCGAACGAGAAAGUGGAGCAAUCCAUGAGUACAGUGGCGACCGGGUGAGUAACACGUGACUACCUACCCUUGAGUGGGGGAUAACCUCGGGAAACCGAGGCUAAUACCGCAUAAUAUCGAGAGAUCAAAGGAGUAAUCCGCUUUUGGAGGGGGUCGCGGCUGAUUAGCUAGUUGGUAGGGUAAUGGCCUACAAAGGCGAAGAUCGGUAUCCGGCCUGAGAGGGCGCACGGACACACUGGAACUGAAACACGGUCCAGACUCCUACGGGAGGCAGCAGUGGGAAUUUUGCGCAAUGGGGGAAACCCUGACGCAGCAACGCCGCGUGGAGGAUGAAGCCCCUUGGGGUGUAAACUCCUUUCGACCGGGAAAAUAAUGAUGGUACCGGUGGAAGAAGCACCGGCUAACUCUGUGCCAGCAGCCGC